rnacentral:lncRNA from 1 species
GCCGAGCCCGGCUGUGAGGGCGGACCCGGCACAGCCGCGGCAGCCCGAGCUGGAUCUUCAUCGCCGCCGUGGCGAGACACUGCGUUUCAAUGCAGAGGAUUUGCUGACGGUGUUUUGAGAUGCUCCAUAGAACCCACAGUUUCUGCAGUCCAGCUAACCACAUCCGCCGCCUGCAAAUGCAGCUGCGCGGGCAGAAGAGUGAGGAGGCGGGGCACAGGCCAGGCUGGCCGCGGGCAGGGAGGCAGAGGGCCCGUCCCAUGCUCAACCCUUCCUUCAGUAAAUGUAUUUCUUUGUUAGGGAGGUAGAACUGAUCACCUGGAUCAUCACAGAAAUUUCUUCAUUUAAAAGAAGGGAGACUCUUCUUCAGUUGAGUUCAUUAGUGGUAGAGUCAGUCCCUUGGAUCUUCCUAAUAUCUUUCAAAAAACUUCAAGAAAACAGAAAAAUCACUGCAGUCUGACUCCAAAUGAUUCCAGAAAUCCUGGGGAGUUUUUCCAGCAGAGUUCUUGUGUUCUAUCACGAAACGUGCCAAUUUUUCAUGGUUGCUUCUCUGAACAAAUGCAAACUUUUCUUUUUUUUUUAAAAAAAAGAAAAAUAAAAUAAUUUUUUUAAAAAUUACA